GAGGCAAUGCCUCGCCCUGCUUCGGCUCGCGCACGGUGCGCGCACCCACUGGCCUGCGCCCACUGUCUGGCACUCCCUAGUGAGAUGAACCCGGUACCUCAGAUGGAAAUGCAGAAAUCACCCGUCUUCUGCGUCGCUCACGCUGGGAGCUGUAGAGCGGAGCUGUUCCUAUUCGGCCAUCUUGGCUCCUCCGGCUUACAUUCUUGAAGUCAUUAAAGAAGCAACCCAUGGCAAAACUAGUUAUUUUCUUAAAACAGUAGGAAGAAGAAAAGCUUUUUGAAUGAAUCACUUCUCAUCUUCUCCGAAGUUGGAAGCAUCAAGAAUCUAAAUAAGCAUUUAUGAUGGCUGGCAUGAAUAUGUCUAUAGGUCCACUGAUACGGCUUUGCUACUCUACCCCGACACCCUGAGGACUAAUCUAUUAAUAGUAUGUACUUCUUAUAAUGAUGAGUGAGGCACAAAAGAGGAAGCAGAAACGCGGAAGAUAGAAUGGGAGUCCUAGUUGACCUUCAUAUAAUUUUUAGAAGAUGGAGCACUUCAACUUCUUCCACUCAUGAAAAGAGAGGUGACAGGUGAAGACAGAACAAGAAAACAAACCAAGAAUUUCCCCUCACCAGCCACCAGCUCUGCCAGCAACUUGAUCUUAGACUUCCCAGCCUCCGUAACGCCUCUGCUUAUAAUCUGUCAUGGAUUGGAAAACUAGAAAAAACAGUUUACAGAGUAUAACAAACUUUGGAGGAGUUAAUCGACUCUAAGUAAAAGAGUAUCUAGCACGGCUGUGGAACAAAGGAGAGACUCACAAACUGUUGAAAGAAUAAAUGAAUGAAUGAAUUCUGUUCAUGAGCUUUAAUAAAACAGCUCUGAGUAGUAACAGUGGAUCAAAUUUAGGCUUCUUGAUGCAGGCAUGGUGUAGAUUACUACUUCUGUAUUGUCCCAGGAGCUCAGCACAUUCCUGCAGAGAUGAUAGGAGCUCAUCUGAUACUUGUCAGCUUUGAAUAAACUCCAGUCCCCAAGAGAGAGAAUGAGAAUCACCGGAAUACGAAACUUCCCUGUUGGACUUCCCAACAUUCUUGAAUGCACCAAGAUAGCCUCUUGCUGUGAGAUUAAUAAAUGAAUAAAUGCCUCCAUAUUUUUCA
rnacentral:lncRNA from 1 species